ensembl:snRNA U6 U6 spliceosomal RNA
GUUGCUAGCUCCAGCAUCAUGUGAACUAACUUGGAACAAUAGAGGUCAGCAUGGUGCCUGUUCGAAGAUGACAUGCAAAUUAAUUAAAUGUCCCAUAUUCUU